GACCUUUCAAUUGCACCGGCCAAUCAUUGACUCGUAAUGUGCAGCGUUGCUCAAGAAGUGCUCCUUGGCCAGCUACUCCAGAAUUGACACAUUUUUGCUGUUUAAAGAACGGUAAAUAUGACCUACAAUACCAUCUCCGCUUCAAGCAGACGUCCACGUCAACAUUUCCCCCACCAUCUUAGCACUGACAAGGUAAAGAUGACCUGCACACUAGUGUGUGUGGUCAACCAUGGCAACAUUUUCGCAGGUUCAAGCAGGCCUGUACCUCCACAUGUUCCCAACCUACCAUCCUAGCACUGACAAGCGUGGCCUAUUAAAGAGAAGAGGACAGAAAAGCGCAGACACUGGUUUCAGACGCAUUGCCUCACCCAAAGCCCGAGGCGAAAAACUGCAAUGAGUUGGAAUGAGCCCAGAUGAGAGGGAGGAAUCUCAACUACUGAGACAUCACUCCGCUUCAAACCUGUACUUUUACUUCAGGGGAUUUUGGCACGGUUGCUGUAUACGACGACGUGUCUCUGAUGUCCCCCCCCCCCCCCUUCCACUGAGUAAAACCACAAACUAACAGUGCAGUGAAUCACCUAGCUUGGUCGCAGUGACCAAUAUUCAGAUAUUCUUUUGAAAGCACACGUGAGAACCGUUGAUUCAUAAUAAUCUCGAGUGAGUACAUGUUUUGAAAUGUGGGCGCAUGGCACCGCGCGCCAUUCUCGGAGUGUGGUGCAAUACAACAACGCUAUUAAGAAGAUUAUCAUUUUUUACUUUAUUCUUAUGUAAAGCAGAGCAGGCGGUGCUGUUGUACUGGCUCACAUUAGUGUUUUUAAGGCGGUGAGUGUGUAUUAAACCGCAUUGGAGUUAACAACAGUGUCUGGAAAUCCCCACCUCGUGACACAAGAGCUUCCUGGCUAAUGGCUAAUGGAGGCCCCUUCCCCCUUCUCUUAUCUCCGCAUGGACGGAGCAGAGACUGUGAGCACAUGUUGGCCAUAUGCAUGCCAGAAAGCUAGAAUUUUGUUUCGGUUAUGUGUGUCACAAUUACUUACUGAUGCACGGGAAAAUCAUCUAUCUUUUUUCUGGGCUUUACCCACCUCAUUCACUGCACAUCAGCAAGUAGUAGUGGCAGCAGCACAUGGUGGCGUAGAGGCGCUUCGCAUGAAGAAAAAAAAACUAGCUUCAACUCAGCCCAGAAGCGGAUAAAGCUCUGAAAAUAGGACAAAGCAGCAGUCAACUGGAGGAGCCGGAGAGCCGCUGUGCUGUGUGUAUGUGAAGGCGGUGCAGAUGUUCCCAAGAGCUGGCUUGCAGUUUCCCUGUUUUCCUUCUGCUUGUCUGUUCCCAGCUCUUCAGUGUUGCCAAGGUGCUCCCUUACUCGGGGCUGGCGCUUUUGUUUUUCCUAUAAGAGCGAGUGCUCCAACAGGAGGGUCAUCUCCAGGCCAGCUCCAAAUGAGAAAUAGUUGGCCGGGUGCCCUGGCGGCCGCUCAAAUCCGCCCUUUUGAAAAGAUUACUGUGCUGCUGCUGCUGCCGCCGCCUCCCGUGGGCCAUGCCAGAUCUGCUGAGAGGAGAGGAAUGCAGGAGGAGGGAGGGAGCCACAAAGUAGGGGGGCACAUUUCAUUCGACCUCUUUCCGAAAGUUUUUCUCAUUACUUUUCUUCUCUCUUUCCGCCACGCAUUUUUCAAUUUUGGACUGCACGCACCAGACCCUCGGACAAUUACAAAACCAAAUCCAACCGGGCUUUUCCACUGAGCUACUUGCCUCCUUGGGUUGUCCUCGGCCUGCUUGUUUUUGUUUCUUAGGGACCGGUGAUGAAUGGUGGAUUGGUAGCAUUAAAACCUGUGCUUGGACUGCCGCGUGCUAUCUCUGCUUAGCGGCUUUGCCUGAUAGGCUGCUAACUGGGGAGCCUCCAAAGCAGGAGCAAUAAAGUUGAUUUGUGGGGGCAUUGUGAGAAGCCCCAGACAGUUAGGAGAGGUGUGCAUGUCUCCUGUGGCCUGUCACAAUCAAUGCUACCCCACCACCUCUGGGCUGCUCUGUCUGCACCGUUUUCCCUCUUAAAUAAUGUAUCUCACGCACACACACAAACACCCCCCCAGUCACACCAUGUGCUAACAAUGAAAUGCAGCCUCUGCGUUCUCCAUCACAAGUCUUUGCCCACAACUUGCUGCAAUCGGAACUGUAAUGUUUUACUGAAUUGAAAAAUCUCACAUUGAAUUUUUCUGGCACUCGCCUAGUUUCAGAUGGGAUUAACCAGAGAGAACUAUAUUUAGCCGAACACUGAAGAUAAAAGGCCUAUGCGUGAGCUACAGUUGACAUUAGUAAAAGCUCACCCUGGGGGGGACACGUGUUGUAUUUAUGAAAGACGGUUGGCACUGUGUAUAUGGUAUGUUAACAAGGUGUAGCACAAAAGAAAACACCUUUCAUGUACAGUAUUAUAUUUCUUUCUGUUUUGCCAACAUGUUCAUCAUGCUCACAUAUCAUUAGCCGCUGAUUCCUAUAUGGAGGGAUGAGGCCCUGCCUGGUGUGUGGUCUUUAUCUGAGAGUCAGGAAACAGGAGCAGACCCAUAAACACUCCACUCACCGCAGAGGAAGCCCCCGUGAGUGCCGACCCCACCCAAAGUGGCUGUAAACAUGCGCCUUUCCCAAAAUGAAUGAGAGAAGAUAAAAACAGAAACCUCGGGCAAAUUUCAGCUUCUCACAGCUUUCAUGAGGGCAGCUGACGCACAGGCGGCCAAAUUGCGUAGAAAACAACCAAGCGGCUUGCUUUAAUUUGUUCCAGGAAAGAUCAGCGUGCAUGCAGGCAGAGCGGCGCUAUCAGUGAGUCUGCUCCACAUUGACACUGAAAGAACGGCGGCAUGGGUUCUUGAGUCACAUCGUCUGCUUAGCAACAAGCACGACGGAGAGAUCAGGACAAAGCGAUGCGAUUGGGGGAGACAAGGACCCUCAGGACAUCAAGCACUAAUUGCAAGGCUGUUUUCGCCUCCAUUUUACAAACAUUCACUCCGCCUGAAAAAGGGUUGCGUAACAUGGUUUUACACCAGGACCCCUCCUCCUCUGCCUCCCACCUCAUUUCCAUCGUUCAUGCGCACCCCAUCAUCUUCCUAGCAACGCCAUCUUGUCUUCUCAGAAGGUUGUGGUACAACCAGGAGGGAAUGCUUGAAAGAGUCAGAUCAUUUUCAUUUUUCAUAUCAAAAACAAAGACAUUUUAGAGCCACAAUGGGAAAUGAUUCAAAAUGUCAUUCGAUUGUGCUACCUUUACUUUGUAAUCUUACCGCUUUAUUCCUGACUUUAUUGACAUUUUUUUCUGACUAUCAUUUUUUUCUCCUGUCAGUGUUACUCUACUGCUCCUUUAAAUGUUUUAAAUAUGCAGACAUAAGUCAGUGUUCAUUUUAAGGUUUCAUAUUCAGAUAGACAAAGCACUUUGCACAUCACUGUAAAAGGGAGAAAAAGAAACUUGUUGGGACGCGUAACUGGAGAGCACAUGCAGACAACUGUUACUGGCGUGCGCUCCAAGGCAAAAACAACACACACUCUCACAAGGUUUUAAAUAUCUGUUGUGGGCAGGGAAGCCUUGUCCUAAAUAAUUAACACACGUUGAUGGCGAGAGUGGUGAUCUCACAAUAUAAAUAAAAAAGAGUGAGCAUGAAA